rnacentral:lncRNA from 1 species
UAUCAAAUAUUAUUUGGAGAAAAGAACAAACCUGAUUGUAAAUUGGUGUGCAAUCCUUGUCAUUAGAAAGUCAAACCUCUCUUACAACUUGUGGGACAUGAGCCAUGCACAGUUCUUGAUACGAAGAUAGGAGAGGGGAGGUGGACGGCCAGUGCUUAUACCUGAGAUUCUUGCAAUUAUAGAUCUCACUGACUUCCUCUGUCUCUACAAGAGAAAUAGACUGAUAAAUCCAGGAAUCACCUAGUCCAUUUUGGAAGUAAAAUCGAAACAAAUCUUAGAAAACCUUGGUUG